rnacentral:rRNA from 1 species
UACGUAGGGGGCGAGCGUUGUCCGGAGUUACUGGGCGUAAAGGGCACGCAGGCGGUGCGGCGCGUUUCGCGUGACAGCGGAGGGCUUAACUCUCCGAGGAUGCGAAAGACGGCGGCACUUGAGGGCCAGAGAGGGACACGGAAUUCCGGGUGGAGUGGUGAAAUUCGUAGAUAUUAGGAAGAACACCGGUGGCGAAGGCGGCCCACUGGUCCGGUACUGACGCUGAGGUGCGAAAGCGUGGGGAGCAAACAGG